GGCCCGGUAGUUCAACGGAUAGAACACCACCGUCCUAAGGUGGGUGUUGGGGGUUCGAAUCCCUCCCGGGUCACCA
rnacentral:tRNA from 2 species